rnacentral:rRNA from 1 species
UAGAGUUUGAUCCUGGCUCAGAAUGAACGCUGGCGGCAUGGAUUAGGCAUGCAAGUCGUACGAGAAUCCUCUCUUCGGAGAGGAGGACAGUGGCGAAAGGGUGAGUAACACGUGAGUAUCUACCUCCAGGUCGGGAACAGCCCGCGGAAACGCGGAUUAAUGCCCGAUGGUCCCUUCGGGGUAAAGAGGAAUCGCCCGGAGACGAGCUCGCGGCCCAUCAGCUUGUUGGCGGGGUAACGGCCCACCAAGGCGACGACGGGUAGGUGGUCUGAGAGGAUGGUCACCCACACUGGGACUGAGAUACUGCCCAGACUCCUACGGGAGGCUGCAGUCGAGAAUCAUCCGCAAUGGGCGAAAGCCUGACGGUGCAAUGCCGCGUGGGGGGAUGAAGGCCUUCGGGUCGUAAACCCCUGUCAGAGGGGACGAAAAACAUGACGGUACCCUCAGAGGAAGCCACGGCUAACUACGUGCCAGCAGCCGCGGUAAUACGUAGUGGCGAGCGUAUUCGGAUUUACUGGGCGUAAAGGGUCCG